UACGUAGGGACCGAGCGUUGUCCGGAUUCAUUGGGCGUAAAGCGCUCGUAGGCGGCCACUCAAGUCGAAUGUGAAACCUCGAGGCUUAACCUCGAGCCUGCAUUCGAUACUGGGCGGCUAGAGUCUGGUAGGGGGAUCUGGAAUUCCUGGUGUAGCGGUGGAAUGCGCAGAUAUCAGGAGGAACACCGGUGGCGAAGGCGGGAUCCUGGGCCAGUACUGACGCUGAUGUGCGAAAGCCAGGGGAGCGAACGGG
rnacentral:rRNA from 1 species